GCCCCUCCAGUUUCGGUGCUUAUGUUACGCCCCGGGCCACGACGCCUCCCUCACCAACCUCCUAUUCUGGAUUGUCGGGAUUGUCUUUUUGAACCUGCAACCUUUCAUAUAUUUACAGAUUUAGACAUCAUCUGUUUUCAGUUUACCUUAUCUUUCUUGUAUCUUACGUGUGGAUGCAGUUGCCCACACUGCAAUGGUGGAAGAAGAAGCCUGCCCAACUUUCACAGAUUUGUUAAAUGCCAUCAGUCAUGAUUUUUGUCCACUCUAAUUGUUUUAACCAAAAUUCCCUCUUCAAUUUAAUUUUUAAUGUGAUAUAAAUACCAAUGAAAUCUGAGGUUCAAGUCAAUCAAAUAGAAUUUACAGGAAGCUUCGAUGGGUAACCUAUUUAAGCUGGAUUUCUAGUAUUUUGAAUUUUUCUAGACUUUCAUGUUUGUUGCUUGCUUCUCUUUAUGUGUUCGGUAAUUAUGUCUGUGAUAUAUGAGCUGAGUUGUUUAUGUCAACAUUUUUGGCUACUUCACUCAAUUCGCCUUCAAGUGCCUCCGGUUUGAUGCAAGUGUACAAGUAACUUACAGGAAGCUUCUACAGGUAUGAACAUUCCUUAUUCAUGGUUCAUCUAUUUGCCUUUUAAAUUAUAAGGUUGUAUGAUGUUUUAGAGAUCAAAAUUCUGAAACAGAUUGUAUCAUUGUAGUCAAUGUAUAUACAAUAGCAUCAAUAUUAUCUUUAUGUAUCCUUAUUAUCAGUUCAAAUAAAUCCAAACAAUAUGAGUUCCACUUGGAUGAUCUGUAAAUCCCUGAACAUUAGGCUUUGUUUUCUUGACAUUUUCAUUUUUACCAUUUGUGUGAAUCAUAAAAAAUUGGACCCAUGACUGUUAAAUAAAGAUUAGUACAAAGUUGA